GAUGAACGCUGGCGGCGUGCUUAACACAUGCAAGUCGAACGGAAAGGCCCUUUCGGGGGUUCACGCGUGGGGGACGGGCGGGUAAGACGCACGUAAGUUACCCUCACCUCUCUGAUAGAUAUGGCUAACGGACGCGAACUCUUACCAGGUACUUCAAUGGCAUCUAUUGGGUUGGAAAGAGUUUUUUUGGUUGGGGAUGAACUCGCGGCCUAUCAGCUUGUUGGUGGGGUAGUGGCUCACCAAGGCUUCGACGGGUAGCCGGCCUGAGAGGGCGGCCGGCCACAUUGGGACUGAGAUACGGCCCACACUCCUACGGGAGGCAGCAGUGGGGAAUAUUGCACAAUGGACGGAAGUCUGAUGCAGCAACGCCGCGUGCGGGAUGACGGCCUUCGGGUUGUAAACCGCUGUCAAUAGGGACCAAGCUUUUUUGUGACGGUACCAGUAGAAGAAGCACCGGCUAACUACGUG
rnacentral:rRNA from 1 species